CCAGCACUUCCUUUUGAUGUGAAAACACAGUCUACUGGUACAGCCCAUCACUUCUCUUUCCUGUUGAACACAUCAGACUAUCGCAUCCUGCGCAUGGAUGAGGAUCACGACCGCAUGUAUGUGGGCAGCAAAGACUACAUCCUGUCUCUGGACCUCCAUGACAUCAACCGAGAACCCCUCAUAAUACACUGGCCUGUUUCUCCACAGAGGAAGAUGGAGUGUGUUCUGAGUGGCAAAGACACAAACGUGAGUGCCGUCUUUCAAUUUCUUUGCUUCCACUCCGCUCACAUAUGCUUUAAUCUGGAAGGCGAAGAAAAACUCAGAAUAGCACUCAGCCCUUCAAAUAAGUGUUCUAAUUUUUCCAAGAAUUAUUCCAGACAAUCUAAUAUUUGCUUUCAAUUUCCCUUUCAGGAAUAUGUCUUCCAUCUGGAGCCCGGCAAGGAGGAUUCUGGGAAGGGAAAGUGCCCAUAUGAUCCAAAACUGAACAGUGUCUCCACUUUGAUUAAUGGAGAACUGUAUGCAGGGGUGUAUAUUGAUUUCAUGGGAACAGACUCUGCUAUUUUCCGAACUUUGGGGAAAAAUGCAGUCAUGCGCACUGACCAAUACAACUCAAGAUGGCUAAAUGACCCCUCAUUUGUCCAUGUGCACCUUAUCCCUGACAGCAACGAAAAAAACGAUGACAAACUCUACUUUUUCUUCCGUGAGAAGUCUUCCGAGAUGGGCCAGAGCCCCAAAUUACAGUCACGCAUCGGUCGAAUCUGCCUGAACGAUGAUGGCGGUCACUGCUGCUUGGUCAACAAGUGGAGCACCUUCCUGAAAGCCCGUCUCAUCUGCUCAGUCCCAGGAGCUGAUGGGAUUGAAACACAUUUCGACGAGCUCAGGGAUGUGUACAUACAGCCUACGCAGGACACUAAAAAUCCCGUCAUCUAUGGGGUCUUCUCUGUGUCUGGCUCUGUAUUCAAAGGCUCAGCGGUCUGCGUCUACUCAAUGGCAGACAUUCGGAUGGUGUUCAAUGGACCUUUUGCUCACAAAGAAGGUCCCAAUUAUCAGUGGGUGGCCUACUCUGGAAAAAUCCCCUACCCUCGUCCAGGAACAUGUCCUGGUGGGACUUUCACCCCUAACAUGAAGUCCACGAAAGACUACCCUGACGAGGUCAUCAACUUCAUGCGGAACCAUCCCACCAUGUACAAUACUGUGUAUCCGGUGCACAAGCGCCCCCUGGUGGUCAGGACCAACGUAGACUAUGAGUUCACCACCAUCACUGUGGACCAGGUGACUGCAGCCGAUGGCAACUACGAAGUGCUCUUCCUGGGUACAGACAGAGGUACAGUACAGAAGGUUAUCGUCCUGCCCAGAGAUGACCUGCAGACAGAGGAACUACUGCUAGAGGAAGUGGAGGUCUUUAAGGUGAGAUCUGCACCGGGGUCUCCAGGUCAACAACUAUAUGUAGCGUCAGCGGUUGGUGUGACUCAUCUGGCCCUGCACAGGUGUGAUGUCUAUGGCGAGGCCUGCGCAGACUGCUGUUUGGCCCGGGACCCUUAUUGUGCAUGGGAUGGCAAGUCCUGUUCUCGGUACUCUGCCUCACAGAAGAGACGCAGUCGGCGACAGGAUGUGAAAUACGGGAAUCCCAUACGGCAGUGCAGAGGAUACAAUUCUAACACUAAUAAGAACACUCUGGAGACGGUGCAGUAUGGGGUGGAGGGCAGCAGCACGUUUUUGGAGUGCCAGGCCAGAUCACCCCACGCUGCCAUUAAAUGGCAUCUCCACCGAGACAACAGCGAUAGAAGGAGAGAGGUCCGUACCGAUGGGCGCGUGUUGAAGACAGAUCAAGGCCUACUACUGCCUUCCCUCCAGUCCUCAGACUCUGGCAUCUACGUUUGCACAACGGCAACUAUUCACCUUAAAACGAUGACUUUUUCCUCAACAGUUAAUGGUAUUGUUACUAUUCCUGCAAAGCGCCACAUGGCCCCGAAAACCAGUGUGAAGCAGCGUCUUACAUUGAGAGAAAAUGGUUGUACAAUUUCUUGGUAUUUUUAA
ensembl:lncRNA